UUUCUGCUGCUUGUCUUGUGGUAUUCAUGCUCCAGGACAUAAUAAGCUCAGCACAGUUCGUUUUCCAGGAUGGAGGCCUUUCACUUGAGUUCCUCUUUGUUGUGAGUCCUUCAGGAAUAAAAGCCUCCUUCAUCGGCUUGCAAGGAGGGAGUCUGAACUGAGUGUGACCCGCCAGCUUUGCAGCACUCGCUGUCCUUAGCAUAGGACACCCUUUCCAGAAGAGGAGUCUAGGGAGGACUCAGUGUCAUUCAAGCUGAGGAUAGCUUAUGGACACUCACCAUCCGUUCAGCCUCGAGAAAUGCAAAAUGAAGCUCCAAGAUCCAGAACAUGCAUCCCUUGAGAGGACCCUAUCACCAGAAAGAUCUCAGAAAAUGACAAGAGUUAUCUUGCUGUCUUCUCUGAGAGGGUAGAGGCCAUGCCUGAGUAAAAAGUCACGUUCCUGAGAAGCUGGUGGUUGAUCUUCAGCCAGGACGCUGAUGGAUGUGUACACAUAACUGAUGUUCGUGCAUGCUCGCUAAACCUACCGGAAAACUGCCUCCUGCCAGAUCCUUCCCAUUCCUCGAUCCAUCUCGGGCUCCCCACUGCUGUAGAUCUCUGGUGAAAUCCAGCUCCCUUCCCACCCUCUGCUGGAGAGCAGCCACUUUGGAGAUGGAGCAUGAAAGUGAUUGUGACAGAGCCAGGAAAUGCCAUCUUCCCGGAAAAGAUGAGGACGAUGAAGCUGGAGUGUCCAGGCUGUAAUCUGCAUCUUCUCCAACUUUGAGAAAGUAUACCCUCAACCUUCAGUCCCUGUUUCCCUCAUUGGACUUUUCUGCUCUGCUGUCCCAUGAGUUCAGCCACAUGUCACAAGAUGUCCAAUCCAAUUUAAAGUCACUCCAUGGAAGCUUAUAAAGUGUUUCUAUAUGGAGACCCCGUGCCUUGGUUUGAGCCCAGCUGAAGCAUGGAUUUCUUGGGUUUCAGAUGGACUUUCGUACCAUAUCUGAGAGGGAGAUUUCUGCUUGGAGUUCACAUUCAAGACAGGUUCACCUGGCAAUAAAGGCUCAGAGAUGGAGUUAUAGGAGAGAACAAUCAGUUAUGAUAUAGGUUGUCAGCUCCAUCCAUAAACUCAUGUGUUCAUUUA